GACGAACGCUGGCGGCGUGCCUAAUACAUGCAAGUAGAACGCACAGUUUAUACCGUAGCUUGCUACACCAUAGACUGUGAGUUGCGAACGGGUGAGUAACGCGUAGGUAACCUGCCUGGUAGCGGGGGAUAACUAUUGGAAACGAUAGCUAAUACCGCAUAAUAUUGAUUAUUGCAUGAUAAUUGAUUGAAAGAUGCUAUUGCAUCACUACCAGAUGGACCUGCGUUGUAUUAGCUAGUAGGUGAGGUGACGGCUCACCUAGGCGACGAUACAUAGCCGACCUGAGAGGGUGAUCGGCCACACUGGGACUGAGACACGGCCCAGACUCCUACGGGAGGCAGCAGUAGGGAAUCUUCGGCAAUGGACGAAAGUCUGACCGAGCAACGCCGCGUGAGUGAAGAAGGGUUUCGGAUCGUAAAGCUCUGUUGUAAGAGAAGAACGGGUGUGAGAGUGGAAAGUUCACACUGUGACGGUAUCUUACCAGAAAGGGACGGCUAACUACGUG
rnacentral:rRNA from 1 species